AGCCUUCUGUAUCCGUGCUGAGAUUUCGUCACACACCGGAUCACAAGGGUUGAUGAGAUUUCCCAGAUAAGUGGAAGCU
rfam:Schistosoma haematobium scaffold2980_8, whole genome shotgun sequence.